GGCAACGGGCACAGGUCCCCAUCCACAAUAUGGCAGCUUUGUUCUUUUGCUGUUUGCGAUAAAUCUUGCUACUGCUCGCUUUUUGGGUCCACACUGCUUUUAUGAGCUGUAACACUCACCACGAAGGUCUGCAGCUUCACUCCUGAAGCCACUAAGACCACGAGCCCACCGGGAGGAAUGAACAACUCCGGCCGCGCUGCCUUAAGAGCUAUAACACUCACCGCGAAGGUCUGCAGCUUCACUCCUCAGCCAGCGAGACCACGAACCCACCAGAAGGAAGAAACUGCGAACACAUCUGAACAUCAGAAGGAACAAACUCCAGAUGCACCACCUUAAGAGCUGUAACACUCACUGCGAGGGUCCGCGGCUUCCUUCUUGAAGUCAGUGAGACCAAGCACUCACCAGUUUCGGACACAAGCCCAGGAGUUUGAGAUCAGCCUGGGCAACAUGAUGAAAUGCCCUCUCUGCAAAAAAAAAAAAAUUACAAAAAUUGGCGGAGCAUGGUGGUCCGUGCCUGUGGUCCCAGCUACGCGGGAGGCUAAAGUGGGAGGAUCGCUUGAGCCUGGGAGGUGAAGACUGCAGUGAGCUGUGAUUGUACCACAGCCCUCUAGGCUGGGGGACAGACUGAGACCCUGUUUCCCCUCCGCAAAAAAAUUGACAAAAGUGUAAUAAGAGGUGCCUGAUAUGGCUAGGCGCAGUGGCUCAUGCCUGUAAUCCCAGCACUUUGGGAAGCCGAGGCGGGCGGGUCACCUAAGGUCAGGAGUGUGAGACCAGCCUGGCCAACAUGGAGAAAGCCCAUCUCUUCUAAAAAUACAAAAUUAGCCGGCUGUGGGGGCAGUGGUGGAGCAUGCCUGUAAUCCCAGCUACUCAGGAGGCUGAGGCAGGAGAAUCACUUGAACCCAGGAGGCGGCGGUUGCAGUGAGCCGAGAUCGUGCCAUUGCACUCCACCCACUCCAGCCUGGGCAACAAGAGCCAAACUCUGUCUUAAAAAAAAAAAAAAAAAGUGCCUGACAUAUAAGAGGUGUGCAAUGCAAUAGUUGCCAGGCAACAUGUUUAAGAAUGUGGAGCUCCUGCCUUCCAUGGUCCUGUUAAAAACCCACCCUCAAGGCCAGGUGCAGUGGCUCAUGCCUAUAAUCCCAGCACUUUGGGAGGCCGAGGCGGGUGGAUCACCUGAGGUCAGGAGUUCGAGACCAGCCUGACCACCAACAUGGUGAAAUCCCACCUCUACUAAAAAUACAAAAUUAGAUGAGCAUGGUGGUGCAUGCCUGUAAUCCCACCUACUUGGGAGGCUGAGGCAGGAAAAUCACUAGAACCAGGGAGGCGGAGGUUGUAGUGAGCCGAGAUCGUGCCAUUGCACUCCAGCCUGAGCAAUGAGCGAAACUCCAUCUCAAAAAAACAACAACAAAAACCCACCCUCUA
rnacentral:lncRNA from 1 species